rnacentral:lncRNA from 1 species
GAUAAGAUAAGCUAGUAUCAGUCCAUAACAAGCCAUGAACAGAUCACUAAGAUCAAAAAUCAAGAUCAAGCAUGAAUGAGGUAUAAACCCUAAUUUUUGUAAAUCAUGUGAUUUUAUGUUAAUGAUUGGUUAGAGUUGUGUAUUAGGGUGUCUUUGAGUGAUCUGGGUUGGUAGAUCAUGAAUCUAUAACAUCUAGAUGCACGAAAAUCAAGUUUUCAAAACUGACCAAGAACCCUAAUUUUAAG